rnacentral:rRNA from 1 species
GACGAACCACACGAACGUUAUUCGGAAUUACUGGGCUUAAAGGGUGCGUAGGCGGCGCGGUAAGUCGGGUGUGAAAUCUCGGAGCUUAACUCCGAAACUGCAUUCGAUACUGCCGUGCUUGAGGACUGGAGAGGAGACUGGAAUUUACGGUGUAGCGGUGAAAUGCGUAGAUAUCGUAAGGAAGACCAGUGGCGGAAGGCGGGUCUCUGGACAGUUCCUGACGCUGAGGCACGAAGGCCAGGGGGAGCAAACGGG